AUUCGGAAAGCUUUUUUUUUUUUUGAGACGGAGUCUUGCUCUGUCGCCCAGGUGGCACUAUCUCGGCUUACUGCAAGCUCCGCCUUCUGGGUUCACACCAAUCUCGUGCCUCAGCCUCCGCAGUAGCUGGGACUACAGGAGCCCGCCACCACGCCCGGCUAAUUUUUUUGUAUUUUUAGUAGGGACGGGGUUUCACUGUGUUAGCCAUGAUGGUCUCGAUCUCCUGACUUCGUGAUCUGCCCGCCUCGGCCUCCCAAAGUGCUGGGAUUACAGGCAUGAGCCACUGCGCCUGGCCGGAAAGAUUUCCUUAAAACAAAAGUGCAUGGAAUUGCUGUUCUUACAUUUGUUUAUUGUGAUAUUUCACUGUUGCAUACCCUGAUACCAAAUUAGUGUAAGUACUGUGUAAGAAAAAAACAAACAAACAUGUAACUAAAUACUUUUCCAUACCGUUUUCCAAGUCAAGAAUGACCAGAAAAAGUAGGUAGUCUCUCAUAUUUGUUUAGCAUGUCCACUUUUUACUUAUUGUUAAAUUACUCAGUCUCAAAUUGUACAAUGCUUGAAAACAGAUAUGACAAUUUCUGAGAUUAAACUUUAUUAAAGUUACUUUUCC
rnacentral:lncRNA from 1 species